UACGUAGGUGGCGAGCGUUGUCCGGAUUUACUGGGCGUAAAGGGCGCGUAGGCGGCCAGCGCAAGUCAGUUGUGAAAUCUCCGGGCUUAACUCGGAAAGGUCAACUGAUACUGCGCGGCUAGAGUGCAGAAGGGGCAACUGGAAUUCUCGGUGUAGCGGUGAAAUGCGUAGAUAUCGAGAGGAACACCUGCGGCGAAGGCGGGUUGCUGGGCUGACACUGACGCUGAUGCGCGAAAGCCAGGGGAGCGAACGGG
rnacentral:rRNA from 1 species